CCCCGCGGACCGCACAGAACCCCGUAGAGCGCACCGUCCUGUAGAGCCCUGCAGAGUCCCUCGGGCCCCGCGGGGCUGCACAGAACCCAUAGAGCCCCAUAGAGCUCCUUUGAGCUCAUUGCCCCACGGACCCCGCUGUCCCGUAGCGUCCCUUUGGCUCCAUUUGCCCCCAUCGCCCCCCAGCACUACAGCUCUGCCCCCCACUCUGCAGGGGUCUCAGACCCCAAUCCCCUCCUGGGGUCAGCAGGUUUGGGGUUGCCCUGGGGGCCUGGGUCCUGCUGUGGGGUGGGUGCUGCUAUAGGGCCGGGUCCCGCUAUUGGUCUGAGUUCUCCUAUGGGUCUGGGGGCUCGCUGUGGGUCUGGAGAUGCACGGGGAUCUGCUGUGGGGCUUGGAGUUCAUUAUGGGUCUGGGUCCCACUAUGGGGCCAGAUUCCACCAUGGGUUUGCAUUCCUCUAUGGGUCUGGGGAUGCCCUAUGGGGAUGGGGUUCUUCUGUGGGGCUGGAGACACUUAUGGGGCUGGGGGCUCACUGUGGGUUUGGGGAUCUUCUAUGGAAUUGAGUCCCACUGUGGGGCCAGGUUCUGCUACGGGUUUGGAUUCUGCUAUGGGUCUGGGGUUCUCCUAUGGGGCUGGGGCUCUGCUUGUUGGGGGGUGGUGACACUUACAGGGAUGGGGUUUUUCUAUAGGGUUGGUGUUUUGCUAUAGGGUCUGGUUUCACCUAUGGGUACAGGUCCUGCUAUAGGGCUGGAUUUCUCUAUGUGUCUGGGGUUCCCCUAUGGGUUUGGGGGGUUCCCUUUGGGGCUGGGGGUCAGCUAUGGGUCUAGAGGUUCUCUAUGGGGCUGGGCCACAUUGUGGAGAUGGAGGCCUGCUAUGGGGAUAUUUAUAGGGCUCACUAUGGGGCUGGGGAUUCCCUAUGGGUCUGAAUCCUGCUUGGGCCUGGGAGCUCCCUUUGGGGCUGGAAGCUGCUGCUGAUAUGGGGCUAACUGUAUGGGUGGGUCUGCUAUGGGGCUGGGUAUUUGCUCCAGGUGUGGGGGUCCCCUAUGGGGCUGGGGGUUUCUUGCGGGUGUGGGGGCUCCUUAUGGAGCUGGGGUUUUGAAAUAGGGUCUACAGUUCUUCUAUAGAGAUGAAACCAGCUAUGGGGGCUGUGCCCCACAGACCACUGACCCCACUGUGCCCCCCAUUCUCCCACAGUUAUGUGAGACUGCUCCAUAUUCCUCGGGGGUUCAAGACCCCACCUCCCUCUUGCGGCAGAACCCGGUGGUGAAUUGCAGCGUGGCCACCUGCUUGGAGUGGCGCUGUCCGUGGGGCGACACGCUGCCCCCCGAGGGCGUGGAGUUCAUCGUUGGGGGGCAGCUGCGGCGGAACUGGGUGCAGCAGCUGCCCCUCCCCCACGUGGAACUGCAGAGCUCCAUUCAGCUGCAGCCUGAGGAGCGGCGCUACCGCAAUGUGGGGCGGGACCGCCUGGAGGUGGGCGGGGCUUUGGGAGGGGGAACCCAUUGAGCCCCAUGGAGUGCAUGGAGCCCUGCAGGCCCCACAGAACCCUAUAAAGUCCAUAGAGCCCCACGCACUGUGCUGAGCACGUGAAACCUCAUAGAACCCAUUGCCCCACAGAGCCCUAUGGCACCCAUAAACCCUAGGGAGCCCGCAGAACUCUGUAGACCCCAUAGCACCCCAUUGGGCACACAGAGCCCUAUAGAACCCAUAGCUCCUCACGGACCCCGUAGCGCCCUGUAGAUCCCCGGAGCCUCAUAGAGCCCGGUAGACCCCACAGACCCAAUGAAGCC